rnacentral:rRNA from 1 species
AGAGUGAACGCUGGCGGUAGGCCUAACACAUGCAAGUCGAACGGCAGCACAGUGGUAGCAAUACCAUGGGUGGCGAGUGGCGGACGGGUGAGGAAUACAUCGGAAUCUACCUUUUGGUGGGGGAUAACGUAGGGAAACUUACGCUAAUACCGCAUACGCCCUUCGGGGGAAAGCCGGGGACCUUCGGGCCUGGCGCUGAUAGAUGAGCCGAUGUCGGAUUAGCUAGUUGGUGAGGUAAUGGCUCACCAAGGCGACGAUCCGUAGCUGGUCUGAGAGGAUGAUCAGCCACACUGGAACUGAGACACGGUCCAGACUCCUACGGGAGCAGCAGUGGGAAUAGUU